rnacentral:rRNA from 1 species
UGGGGAAUAUUGCACAAUGGGCGCAAGCCUGAUGCAGCGACGCCGCGUGGGGGAUGACGGCCUUCGGGUUGUAAACCUCUUUCAGCACAGACGAAGCGCAAGUGACGGUAUGUGCAGAAGAAGCACCGGCCAACUACGUGCCAGCAGCCGCGGUAAUACGUAGGGUGCGAGCGUUGUCCGGAAUUACUGGGCGUAAAGAGCUCGUAGGUGGUUUGUCGCGUUGUCCGUGAAAACUCACAGCUUAACUGUGGGCGUGCGGGCGAUACGGGCAGACUGGAGUACUGCAGGGGAGACUGGAAUUCCUGGUGUAGCGGUGGAAUGCGCAGAUAUCAGGAGGAACACCGGUGGCGAAGGCGGGUACUCUGGGCAGUAACUGACGCUGAGGAGCGAAAGCGUGGGGGAGCGAACAGGAUUAGGAUACCCUGGUAGUCCACGCUGGUAAACGGUGGGUACUAGGUGUGGGUUUCCUUCCGUUGGGAUCCGUGCCGUAGCUAACG